rnacentral:rRNA from 1 species
CGAACGGGUGAGUAAUGCGUGGCCAACCUGCCCCAUGCUCCAGAAUAGCUCUUGGAAACGGGUGGUAAUGCUGGAUGCUCCAACUUGACGCAUGUCUUGUUGGGAAAGUGUUUAGUGGCAUGGGAUGGGGUCGCGUCCUAUCAGCUUGUAGGCGGGGUAAUGGCCCACCUAGGCUUCGACGGGUAGCCGGCCUGAGAGGGCGGACGGCCACAUUGGGACUGAGAUACGGCCCAGACUCCUACGGGAGGCAGCAGCC